rnacentral:rRNA from 1 species
UACGGGAGGCAGCAGUGGGGAAUCUUCCGCAAUGGGCGAAAGCCUGACGGAGCAACGCCGCGUGAGUGAAGGAGGGUUUAGGCUCGUAAAGCUCUGUUGUUGGGGACGAAGGCCCAGGAGGUGAACAAUCUCCUGGGAUGACGGUACCCGACGAGGAAGCCACGGCUAACUACGUGCCAGCAGCCGCGGUAAU